rnacentral:lncRNA from 1 species
UGCCUGGAUAACCAGCUAUGUAAAUAGCCGGUGAACAAUCACUCGGACUAGAAAUUCCGUAAUUUCUGUGUUCUUUCAAUUCUUUGUAGAAAUCCGGCAAACUCUUAAAAAUUGCAUUGAAAUCAUUCGUGGGGAGAUCGUUAAGGUAAAUCCGAAACUCGGGUGGUGGAUAUAGCGAGAGCUUUUGACAUGUUUCUCCGACAGCAUCAACAAGAGUUUUGAUUGUUGAGAAUGUGUUCUGUCCUGAGGAACACCCCAAGUCAGCUAUGCCAAUGCUCUUUGGAGUUGUUUUCAUGUACACUUCUUGAAUUGUUUCUAUGGUUAUAUGCUUCACCAUAUCAGAGCCCUUUUUCUGCAUGUCAAUUAAAAUUGAUGAGGCCAGAAUGUUACAUAUUAUUAAUAUUAACAUAUUUUAAAUGAUGAUUUAUUCAAAGUGCAUAAGAGUUGAACCUGCAAUGAAGAAUUUCUGGCAUAGCUAGUAUCUCCAACUCCACCGGUCAUGUGAAAAACUUUCUCUACAUCCAUGAUUUAACAGUAGAUGUACUUGUUAUUAUUCCAACCCUUUGGUAGUGUUUGAGUCCUUUUAUAGGAUGAUUGUGAAAUGGUGAUUCUUGCAUCCAGGUCAUUGGAGUUUUCUUUUUCUAUGUUUAUUCUUUUAUCAAAAAAAAAAUUACGAAUAAAAAUACUAGUGUCAUAUUUGUAAUCAUAAAAAGAAAUUUUUAAAAUAAUAUUUAUAAGCGUACGCUCAAAACUCGUAAAAAUACGUGAAAAAUAAUCAAACAACUAUUUCAUCUUUCACCUCCUCUCGAAAAAAAUUUGUUUCAAAUUAGUUGUCCACUUCAAUUUUCAAUGCAAAUUCAUAAUUCCAAAGUCAAUUCCACUCCACAUACUUCUUAUUUAUAUUUCCUAGAUCAACCUCAUACCACAUAUUAUCAUCAUUUAAUGCAAUUGAGUUGUGAAAAUUCACUUUUCUUAAACUGUGUGAUUUUUUCAAAGUGAACAUCUAAUUUGAAACGGAGGGAGUACUAAUCUGUUUUGGUUGGUUUUUUUGGAAUUUGGUUCCAAAUAAUAGUGAGAAAAUACAUUUUGUCUCAUAUUUCAAGCUGAAUUAGUUGCGUUUCCCUGUUUGGCAUGCUACACGCCAUGAAUAGCGUUUUCAGUAGGGGUGAUCAAAAAACCGCCCAAACCGCACAAACCGUCCGCACCGCACCAAACCGCACCACAAAUGCGGUUUUUAAUUUUCGUGGUGCGGUUGCGGUUUGAAUUUUUCACAAACCGCGCAGUGUGGUGCGGGUUGCGGUUUUAGUUUUAUUGAAUGCGGUUCAAACCGCACCGCACCGCAAUAUUAAUAUAUAUUAUAAAAAUAAUAUUUUAUUUAUAUUUAUGUAUAUAUAUUAUAAUUAUCUAUUACUCUCAACACAUUAAAACACAGUCCAGCACACAACAUUUAACCAUCACUGAUGUAGUGUUAUUCAGGAUUAGCAAAGUAGAGCAGUAUCUGUUUGGGGUGGUUCUGUGUAUGUGUAUGACCAAAAGAUGUACUGAUGCAGUUUUGUUUAAGACUUUAAUCAGUGUGUUGUUUUAAGACUUCAAGCAUGUUUCCCAAUGAUUGAUUCAAUGUUUAAGUAUUGUUAAUCUAUCGUAUAAUCUGUUAAACUUUGUAAUAUUUCAGAUUAAAAUUUUUGAUCAAAUUUAGAAGAUAAUUAGUAAAUUUUAUCGCAUGUAAAAACCGCAGUGAACCGCACCACACCGCACCGCAUUUUCGUGGUGUGGUUUAUGCGGUUUUAAAAUUUCGUGGUGCGGUUGCGGUUUGAGAUUUUGAUAAAACCGCAUGUGCGGUUUGGUUUGCGGUUUUAGCAAAAAACCGCACCGCCCGCACCGCGAUCACCCCUAGUUUUCAGUGUUCCGCAUGGUGAUGGUGCAGACUGCUGACCAAAGUUGACAAAAAUGGAACUCACUCGAAACAACUACAAAAAUCAUACGAACUUUGUACAAACUUUCUGCUUAAAGUACCAUAAGUAAUAUUGUUUAAUCGGAUUAUUUAGUGUGACAACUAAUUUUUAGUUAGGUGGUAGAUUUUUUAUAUGCUCCAAUUUCUGUCUCAUUAAUAAUUAUGGUCCCCAACAUGCACAAAAAUUUUCAUUAAUCAAAGUCUUUCAUUUAAAUAAAAAUUAGUUUAGAGUAUAUGCACAUACUAGAAAGACCUUGUUUGAUUAUUAUGACCGGCACCGACAAAUAUUAGGCUUAGUAGUUUCUGCAAGUAUCUAUUUAAUCUCCUUGGACUUACUUUCUAGUUUCUGCGAUGGAUGAGUUUUGAGUGAGCCGGAUGAAGAUAGCGAGAAAGUUUCUGCGAUGACUGAGUUUUGAGUGAGCCGGAUGAAGAUAGCGUCCUCGUAAUUCAUAUCCGGAUCCAAAUUGAUAUAACCGGAACUAGUUAUCUCUGAAAUAUCUUCAGUAUAAGAAUAGGAUCAUAGUGGAAUGUCUGGAGAGAAAAACUAGACGCUAUGAUUUCUCAACUAGUUCAAAAUCAGAUGUUGAUUUCUGGGCUCAUGUUAAAAGUCAUUGAGUUAAGCGUGCAACAAGUUUGGGAGAAUCUUAGACCUCGUGAAAUUUCUAUGGACAAAUUGUCCGCACUAAUCUUUGGUCUUCAAAAAAAAAACAACUAAUCUUGCAGAUCCUUUAUACUACAAAAUUUAUUCCAAAAUAAGAUUAUUUAGUUAAUUUUUAUAAAUACGAACUAUGCAUAAAUUGGAUAAGUCAAGACAGAGUACAUCCUUUAAACCUGAAUGUACCUAGUUACAUAAUAAUUUUACACGGUGUCUGCUAGAAGUACAUUCAUUAGGCUGCAGAAUUAUUAUUACAUAAAUAAACUUAUGACAAAAAUAGAAAGCAAAUUAAGCAAUUGACAUCUAACAUCUAUAAUUUCUUAAGGGCGAGAACAAAAGAGACGAGACUAAUUUCCUCCACACCCAAUUCUUCAUCCACCAGUUUCCCAAAUAUGUCAAACAAACUGUCAAGAAUUUCUUCACCGAAAUGGUGGCUGAUCAUCGACUCCUGUAUAGCCCGAACCGCCAUGGCCACUGCCGUGCCAUAGCUCAUCUCCCCCUCGGCUUUUUUCUCCAUUUCAAACAUUUCCAAACGCUCCACUACAAACGAACCCUCUCUGCUCACUUCCUCUCGUAUCUCAUCUUCUGAAGCCACGUAAAAAUGAACAUCGUACUCAUCAAGACUCUUCGCAUCAAUUUGCCCCUGCAUAACAACAUUAGCAUUGUCAAUCUUUCUCUUUACUCUGUUUAUUUUUUUUUAAAAGAAAAAAUCCACUAGCUAAUAACUAAUUAUUAAUUUACCUUCGAAAUUAAAAUUUUAAAUGAUCUAGAAAGUAUUUUCCACAGAAACGAAUUUCCUCUAUCGACAUGAUUUGCACCACUUCGACCUAGCAAAAUAAGCACAGCACUUCCUCCAGAAACAAGCUCCCCCGAUCGUGAUCGGAGAAAUAAAUUAAAGUCCUCCUGGAACUGUCUAUGGUAAGCUUGAGACACCUCGGGCGGGCUCGAUUCGGAUAUGUAAAUGCUGCCUUUGUUUACAGAUUUACCUUGUUUGUCAUAAAUCCCCGCUGGGACCUGUUAAGAACACACAUGAUUAAUUUCAUAGUGUGAUCUCCCAAAAAGCAGGACAAAAAGAACAAAAAAUAAAUAUUUAAGCUCAUAAUUAUGUUAUACGGGCACACACUAGAAAAACCGUUAAACUUACUCUGGAAAGCCAGUGCAAGCUGUAGGAGGAAUAGAUAAAAUGCAAGCAAUUGUCUGGAAAAAGUCUACCAUAAAAUGUGCCUGGAUAACCAGCUAUGUAAAUAGCCGGUGAACAAUUAAUUGAACUAGCAAUUCCGUAAUUUCUGUGUUCUUUCAAUUCUUUGUAGAAAUCUGGCAAGCUCUUAAAAAUUGCAUUGAAAUCAUUCGUGGGGAGAUCGUUAAGGUAAAUCCGAAACUCGGGUGGUGGAUACAGCAAGAGCUUUUGACAUGUUUCUCCGACAGCAUCAACAAGAGUUUUGAUUGUUGAGAAUGUGUUCUGUCCUGAGGAGCACCCC